CAACUGAUAUUCCGAGGAGUGGAAUGAAGGGGUAACGCCCUGAAACGCUUACCUGAUACUACGUUGGAAGCAAAGGAGUGUAAUAUCCUGCGCUGACACAGCACGUUGAAGUCGGCUGAAGACUGCCCAAACGAAGCCAAAAUAGGCUGGCGUGGAAAGUCGUCCAGAGGUGGACGGUGCGGUUGAUAGGCCGGGGGUCUAUAAA
rnacentral:ncRNA from 2 species